rnacentral:rRNA from 1 species
AUACGUAGGGAGCGAGCGUUGUCCGGAUUUACUGGGUGUAAAGGGUGCGUAGGCGGCUCUGCAAGUCAGGUGUGAAAACCAUCGGCUUAACUGAUGGACUGCAUUUGAAACUGUGGGGCUUGAGUGAAGUAGAGGCAGACGGAAUUCCCGGUGUAGCGGUGAAAUGCGUAGAGAUCGGGAGGAUCACCGGUGGCGAAGGCGGUCUGCUGGGCUUUAACUGACGCUGGGGCACGAAGGCAUGAGUAGCAAACAGGAUUAGAUACCCUGGUAGUCCAUGCCGUAAACGAUGAUUACUAGGUGUGGGGGGUCUGACCCCCUCCGUGCCGGAGUUAACACAAUAAGUAAUCCACCUGGGAAGUACGACCGCAAGGUUGAA